AGGGAGAAAGGGGUAGCAAUAUCCUGAGUACACCGGCGCACGGGUGAGUAACACGCAGGCAAUCUACCUUUAGGACGGGGACAACCCCGAGAAAUCGGGGCUAAUACCCGAUAAUGCAGCGGCACCGCAUGGUGAUGUUGUUAAAGGCCCGCAAGGGCGCCUAUUGAUGAGCCUGCGUCCCAUUAGGUAGUUGGCGGGGUAAUGGCCCACCAAGCCGACGAUGGGUAGCUGGUCUGAGAGGAUGAUCAGCCACACUGGAACUGAGACACGGUCCAGACUCCUACGGGAGGCAGCAGUGAGGAAUAUUGCGCAAUGGCCGAAAGGCUGACGCAGCGACGCCGCGUGAAGGAUGAAGUCCGUUAGGAUGUAAACUUCUUUUGCGAGGGAUGAAUGCUCCGCCUUGUGCGGACUUGACCGUACCUCGCGAAUAAGGGUCGGCCAACUACGUGCCAGCAGCCGCGGUAAUACGUAGGACCCGAGCGUUGUCCGGAAUUACUGGGUGUAAAGGGCGUGUAGGUGGAUCUCUCAGUCGGUGGUGAAAUCCUGCGGCUUAACCGCAGAACUGCCUCCGAUACUGGAGAUCUUGAGUACGGCAGAGGGAGAUGGAAUUCAUGGUGUAGCGGUGAAAUGUGUAGAUAUCAUGA
rnacentral:rRNA from 1 species